UUAGCAGUGAUUAUUUGCAUUAAACCAAUUGUUCCAACUGAAUGAGAAUAUCAUAUGUCGACAAUUGCAUUAUCGUUAAGUUUCAGCCUUGUAUGAGCUUU
rnacentral:snoRNA from 1 species